AUUGAACGCUGGCGGCAUGCCUUACACAUGCAAGUCGAACGGCAGCGCGGGGCAACCUGGCGGCGAGUGGCGAACGGGUGAGUAACAUAUCGGAACAUACCCUAGAGUGGGGGAUAACGUAGCGAAAGUUACGCUAAUACCGCAUACGCACUAAGGUGGAAAGUGGGGGAUUCGCAAGAACCUCAUGCUCAUGGAGUGGCCGAUAUCUGAUUAGCUAGUUGGUGAGGUAAAGGCUCACCAAGGCGACGAUCAGUAGCUGGUUUGAGAGAACGACCAGCCACACUGGAACUGAGACACGGUCCAGACUCCUACGGGAGGCAGCAGUGGGGAAUUUUGGACAAUGGGGGCAACCCUGAUCCAGCAAUGCCGCGUGAGUGAAGAAGGCCUUCGGGUUG
rnacentral:rRNA from 1 species